GACGAACGCUGGCGGCGUGCCUAAUACAUGCAAGUCGAACGAGAGCGCCCGGUGCUUGCACUGGUCAAUCUAGUGGCGAACGGGUGAGUAACACGUGGGUAACCUGCCCAUCAGAGGGGGAUAACAUCCGGAAACGGAUGCUAAAACCGCAUAGGUCUUCGAGCCGCAUGGCUUGAAGAGGAAAAGAGGCGCAAGCUUCUGCUGAUGGAUGGACCCGCGGUGCAUUAGCUAGAUGGUGAGGUAACGGCUCACCAAGGCCGUGAUGCAUAGCCGACCUGAGAGGGUGAUCGGCCACAUUGGGACUGAGACACGGCCCAAACUCCUACGGGAGGCAGCAGUAGGGAAUCUUCCGCAAUGGACGCAAGUCUGACGGAGCAACGCCGCGUGAGUGAAGAAGGUUUUCGGAUCGUAAAACUCUGUUGUUAGAGAAGAACAAGUGCUAGAGUAACUGUUAGCGCCUUGACGGUAUCUAACCAGAAAGCCACGGCUAACUACGUG
rnacentral:rRNA from 1 species